rnacentral:rRNA from 1 species
UACAGAGGAGCCAAGCGUUGUCCGGAAUUACUGGGCGUAAAGGGCUCGUAGGCGGCCAACUAAGUCCGACGUGAAAUCCCAAAGCUUAACUUUGGAACUGCGUCGGAUACUGGAUGGCUUGAAUUCGGGAGAGGGAUGCAGAAUUCCAGGUGUAGCGGUGAAAUGCGUAGAUAUCUGGAGGAAUACCGGUGGCGAAGGCGGCAUCCUGGACCGACAUUGACGCUGAGGAGCGAAAGCUAGGGGAGCAAACGGG